rnacentral:rRNA from 1 species
GCCUUCGGGAACUCUGAGACAGGUGCUGCAUGGCUGUCGUCAGCUCGUGUUGUGAAAUGUUGGGUUAAGUCCCGCAACGAGCGCAACCCUUAUCCUUUGUUGCCAGCGAUUAGGUCGGGAACUCAAAGGAGACUGCCAGUGAUAAACUGGAGGAAGGUGGGGAUGACGUCAAGUCAUCAUGGCCCUUACGAGUAGGGCUACACACGUGCUACAAUGGCAUAUA